rnacentral:tRNA from 1 species
GGGGAUAUGGCGAAAUCGGUCGAAAUCGGGUAGACGCUACGGACUUAAAAUCCGUCGACUUUAAAAAUCGUGAGGGUUCAAGUCCCUCUAUCCCCA